rnacentral:rRNA from 1 species
AUGGACCUGCCGCUAGCCCUCGCAGCUCUAGUCCUCCUCCUCCUCGUGCUCCUCGCCGCCCCGCCGGCGGCGCUGCUCAUUGCCCUCCACCUGCGCCGCCGCCGCCGCAGCCUCCGGAGGCCCCGGCCAACGCCGCCCGAGCCGGCGGCCGCGGCGCUCGAGCCGAGCGCGCCGGCCGAGGAGGACGAGGGCGGGGAGGAGAAGAGGCGGCGGCGGAGGGCGCGGCGGAAGCAGCAGCAGCAGAAGCAGGGCGGCGACGGGGCCGCCUCGCGGGCGGCGGGCGGCGGUGGGGACGGCGCGCUGCCGCCGCGGCCGCGGUUCCCGCUCGCUUCGGUGGCCGGCGCGCUGCAGCGGCGGAUCACCGCGCGGUACGACGAGCUCGCGCUGGCCAGCCAGGCCCAGUCCCUCACCAUUGACCAGGUCCAUGAGUUUCUUAAGACUCUUGUAGAUGCGAGGGAUGAACUACUACAAAAGUCUGAGAACACCCGAAGAAGCAUCACAAUAAGGAAGGCCAUGUUAUCCAACAGUCGUAACGGUAGGUCUUCACAUGACCACCUUCGCUUAUGUGAACAGGUGAGUAGAUUGGAAUUCGAAUAUGAAAGACUAAAGAAAGAUGCCAGCAUUUACCAUAAUCUCCAUGAGCAGCUUCAGCUGUCAUCGUGCUACAAACUGAUGGAGGAGAGCAACGAUGAAGCGGAGAAGAGAAUUCGCGAAGGAGCCUUCGCCAAAGGGGUGCGUGAUACCGCCUUCGAGGACCUGCUGGCCGUGGAGAAGAAGGACGACGCUUUCUGGCGCCGUGACGGGAAGCUGAGGUCGAUCUCGGACAGCAUGGCCAUGGCCACGCGAGAGCAGCCGUCGCAGGGCGUGACGCCGGACGCUGCCGCCACUCAGCCUCGGAGGCCCCGCGUCCUGGUCGCCGCCUCCGGCAGCGUGGCGGCGAUCAAGUUCGAGGUCCUGUGCCGGAGCCUCGCCGAGUGGGCCGACGUCCGGGCGGUGGCGACGGCCUCGUCCCUGCACUUCAUCGACAGGGAGUCGUUCCCGAGCGGCGUCGCCCUCCUCACCGACGCCGACGAGUGGUCCGCCUGGGGGAGGAUCGGCGACGAGGUCCUGCACAUCGAGCUGUGCGAGUGGGCCGACGCCAUGCUCAUCGCGCCACUCUCGGCCAACACCCUGGCCAAGAUCGCUGGCGGGCUGUGCGACAACCUCCUGACGUGCGUGGUGCGCGCGUGGGACUACAGCAAGCCCAUCUACGUCGCGCCAGCCAUGAACACCUUCAUGUGGGACAACCCCUUCACCAGCCGCCAUCUCGACGCCGCCGCCGGCCUCGGCGUCUCCCUCAUCCCUCCGGUGACCAAGCGGCUCGCCUGCGGGGACUACGGCAACGGCGCCAUGGCAGAGCCCGCCGAGAUCUGCAGGACCCUCAGGCUCUUCUUCGGUUCACAAGAACCAUUCUGA